rnacentral:misc_RNA from 1 species
UUAGUUUCGUGCGUGGGAGGGAGGCGUGGAAAGGCUCAAUUAAGUGACAAGUAGUAAAGGCUGCAGGUCUAUUGUAUGUGAAAUAUGCAUGUGUCGCUAGUAAUUUGAGUUCAUUUAUUAGUGACUUUGUAGGCUAUGCAUCUCAAUUGCGAGAUGGAGAAAGUAAAUACUCAGGGAACAGGGAUUAGUACUUGUAAUAGUGCAGAUCACGAUAUCUUUGUCUCCAAUCUGCAAAGCGGAGAAGUAUUGUGUUAUUCUGUAGUUCUUAUUAAAGGUGGAGUAACUAAUAAAAACAAUAGUCUGUGUGUUCCUCAAAACUGUAAAAUAAAACAGUUUAACAAUUUUUCGGGCUUGUCUAAAACAACGCAAUGGCCUAUUAUAAAUUUUAGGUUCAAAUGCUUAGUUGAGUUAAGUUUAGAAGAAAAUGAACUCGUUGUAGAAUGUUGUGGACGAACGUUAGAGUUAAAACUUCAUUACAAACCUAGGAAAACAUCACUUUCUGUUAUUCCGCUUUAUAUCGUAUGCCAUGGUCACGACGGUAAAUUCCAAGCUCCUGCCGGCGUUGAAAAUUCAAUCAGAAGUGCUUGCGAAAGAAUAGCUCUUGGAGCUAAAUUAAUUCAAACUGUUAUUGCAGAGAAACUGUAUGACUGUAAUUUUGGUCGUAAGACUUUUCAACUUGAAACAGACAUAGACCCAUCAGCUCCGGACUGUGUCACUUUUCACAGUCAACUUUCACACGAAAAAGCGCGAAAAAUGAACCCGCAUGAACUGUGGGAACACUUUGGGAGAGAACUAAUGAUGUCUUCUCUUGGUAGCAAUAAUCGAAAGUUCUUGGCAUUUCUGUCAUGUACUCGGUACAACCCACCAACUGAUGGAACUGUUCCAAAUACAUAUACAGAAAUGCUAUCUGCAAUGGAGGCUCAUGUUGCUCUGGGAGGUGGAGGGCUCGCUAUUUUCGGCAGUGCAUGUUUAUAUACUUGGGCUAAGACAGUGGAAGAUGUUAUACCAUACUUGACAAAUCAGACAAAAGUAGAUUCAAAGUACUUCAUGGAUGACAGCUGCUAUAGGGGAACAUAUGGCAGCUGUUUUUCAACCACACUGGGAUCAGCUUUACAUGAGCUUGGCCACACCUUUGACUUAGGUCACUCUUCUGAUGGUAUAAUGGGAAGAGGAUUUGAUAACAUUGAUCUGGUUUUUACUGUGCCCAAAAAUGAUAAUGAAAACAGGACUUCUAGCAAAACAUGUGCACACAUUGUGAAACCAGUUUUCAGGGAAUUAUCACAGAAUUCUACUGUCUGUUUAACAAGAUUGUUACAGGUUUCAUAUACAGUAACACCCCUAGAAGAGAAACUGAAGCAGAAACAGGAGAAUAUAAACAGGAGAGCAGAUUUUAAUAGCACAGAGAAUGUACACAAUGCUAAACGACAUGGAACUGGCAAGAAAUUUGCCAGUCAGAGUGGCAAUAAUUUUGAGAAGACAAACAGCGUACAGAACAAGAAACCAAACAACACUACAGAGAAACUGAUGGAUAUUUCUGAUCAUACAUAUUGGUCAAAAAGUUGUGCAGCUCUACUAUCAUACCAUAGGUGGUUCAAUGACUAUACAGAUGAGUUUUCUGGAGAACUGGUACUGGAUUCAGUUAGCUGUGUAUACAAUGAGGAAAUUAAAAAAGAUUGUAUAAGUCAGAUCUAUGGCAAGCAAAAUCUGAGAUUAUGUUGUUUAAAAAGGUGCAUCAGUUAAAAAAGAGAAUUAGUAUAGUCAUAAUAGUUCACCUUUAACUGACAGAAUUUGCAGAUUUCAUUUGUAAGAGGAAUGUAAUAGAGUCAUCUGUUGGUAUCAGAGUGGUGGAGAUUCGUGAUGGCUCUGGACAGAUUCUCUGUGACUGGCAGUUUCUAGAGGAAAAGAAAAUAACUGAAUUUGCACUGCCAUCUGAAGUAUAUUCUGAG